UUGAAAGGGAAACGAUUGAAGUCAGUCGUACCGGCGGGUAAUCAGCCUUUUGGGUGUGAUUAUGUGGAGCGUGAGGAGUUAAUCACCCUCAUCUUUGCAUAUUCGUGCACUUUGGGUGUACUUGCUCGUGUGGUAGGUUAACAUCAAUUUUGAUCAUCAUAAAAUGAUUGGAGGAAUGUAGCUUCGAUCUCGUAUUGAAGUGUUAUAGCCUUUGGUAGAUGUGAUGAUCGGGAUUGAGGAUUGCAACGGAUACCCUUCGGGGCUACCCGUCUGAUCUCUGAAAGUUGCUCUGGUGCUGAAAGCUUGCUUAUGGUAUCAAAGUUGACGUUCAAUAGGUUAGAACGGGAUAAAUUCGUUAAGGAUGUUGACGUA
rnacentral:rRNA from 1 species